UACGUAGGGGGGCAAGCGUUGUCCGGAAUCAUUGGGCGUAAAGAGCGUGUAGGCGGCCAGAAAAGUCCGCUGUGAAAACUCGAGGCUCAACUUCGAGCUGUCGGUGGAAACUUUCUGGCUAGAGUCCGGAAGAGGAGAAUGGAAUUCCUGGUGUAGCGGUGAAAUGCGCAGAUAUCAGGAAGAACACCCGUGGCGAAGGCGGUUCUCUGGGACGGUACUGACGCUGAGACGCGAAAAGCGUGGGGAGCGAACAGG
rnacentral:rRNA from 1 species